UUACGGACAUAUCAUGUUGAAACACCGGUUCCUGUACGAUCAUCGAAGUCAAGCAACGUUGAGCUUGUUCAGUACUAAGAUGGGUAACCGGUUGGGAAUAUCAGGU